rnacentral:lncRNA from 1 species
GCUGUUGAGAUCCAUUGCCUUCGUUUUUCUCCGCUGAAGUCGAGGCUAGGUUCGGCUCCCGUGGGAGCCCGAACGAAGAAUCCCUCUUGAAGUUGGAGUUGUGGGCAAAGCCCGGCUCUCGUAGGAGUCAGGGUGAAGUCUUCCUGCAAUCAAGAUUAAAGGCGAAGUCCGGAUCCCGUAGGAGUCCGGACAAGGCCUAUCGGCAGUUGCUGUUGUCAGCGGAGCCCGGCUCCCGUAGGAGUCCGGGCGGGGUUGUCCUGUAGCUGAUGUCGGUGAUGGAGCCCGGCUCCC